AGACAAAAUUAAACUAACCUAAACUACCCCAAGUCUAAACCACAUUCCCAUUCCCCAAUUUUCCUUUGCACUUUCUAGACGUAAACGGCCAGCAUUUCUGUUCUUCUUUUUUACUUUUCAUCUUCCUAUUUUUGGAGCCUUAAGAACCUGCCAUUUUAAUUAUGCCUCUUCGCACCAUUGAGUCUUGGAAUUGAUAUGGAGAACUCCGAUAUGUCAUUUUCAGUGAGCUUGGACAAAGGCCGUGGUCACGAAUGGGUAUGCCAAUGGAGUAUGGAAGGAUGACUUUACAACAUUUAGGCUU